CAUUGCUUGUCCACUAGUGGGAUGCUUAUCCUGUUGACAUUUGUAUCUGAAGUUAAAGAUGAUGUUACUUGCCAUCUGAUCUUGAUACAGACCCACCUGCUGCCAAUAAAGAUGGGUAGCUUGGUUGAGUAGGAAGAAAAUCAGUGCAGAAGAAAUUUCAUCAGUAAAUACUAGAGGACACAGAGGAUUUUACCCUAAUGCUAAUUCAUCAGGAAAAUGCUGAAUCAAUCCACGGACAUAAAAAAAAUGGAGUAGGAUCUAAAUCACUGAUUUUAAUUUCUGCUGAAUCUAGCCUGGAAACUUUGGAAAGAAACUAAGAAAGGAAAUGUGUUCAACAUGUAGUGAAAGCCCCUUCAGUGGCACUUCAUGCAAGCCUUCUGAUUCAAGCCAACAUAAAACC